CACGGGGGGAGCAAGCGUUGUUCGGAAUCACUGGGCGUAAAGCGCGCGUAGGCGGCCACUUAAGUCAGAUGUGAAAGCCCCUGGCUCAACUAAAGAAGUACACCCGAAACUAAAUAGCUUGAGUGCGAAAGAGAAUCGCGGAAUUCCCGGUGUAGAGGUGAAAUUCGUAGAUAUCGGGAGGAACACCGAUGGCGAAGGCGGCGACCUAGGUCGACACUAACGUUGAGGCGCGAAAGCGUGGGGAGCAAACAGG
rnacentral:rRNA from 1 species